rnacentral:tRNA from 1 species
AGGCGCGUAGCUCAGUUGGUUAGAGCGCUUGGUCGACAUCCAAGAGGUCGUCGGUUCGAAUCCGACCGUGCCUACCA